AGUCCUCUCGCGACUCUUAUUCGGUGAACUCCUUCAUCAUCGGGUGAUGUAUUUGAUUUGGUGAACGAUCCUUAGUGAAGACAUUAAUAUUGAAUACGGGUUUGGAACAAGUUAGCCAUGUUCGUAUCAUUUGGUAUUAGGGCUUUGGCUCCUCAAUCAAAUUCGGCUAUGAGGAUGUGAGAUACACUGACAAAUCGAUAAAAAACCUGCCUGGAACUCUAAAGCCGAUUGGUUGUGCAAUAUCUAGUCCCAAUUACAUUUUUAGUUUUGGCCGAAUUUGAUGUAUUUUAUGUACUGUAUCAGAUUUUAGGUCUUUUUUUCUUUACAAUUUUAGUUGUAGGCCGGAUUGUAAUAAUUAGAUUUAUUUUCUACCUUUUUAUUUUAUUUAUUUUGCUUACUAUAUGAUUGAUUAAAUACAUGUUAUGUGAUUGAUUAAUUAAAAUGAGCCACAAAGACUUAGGGUUAAAACUAGAUCCAAUAUGAAUAUUAUAGUCAAAUAGGCUAAUCAACAUUAGCUAGGCUUAAACCCUAAUUGAAGUAGACUUAGCAAGCCUUGGCAUGUUUAGUUAGGACUGGGCUUCAUUAGAAUUAUGUUCACAAUGAAAGAGCCUUAUCAUAAUAACUAGUCCAUUGGGUUAGACUAAGUGAGCUACAUAUAAUUAACUAGUAAAUUAGAUUAACAACUCCGAUAUAGGUUGGGCUUGAAUAAAAUGAGCUACAUUAGGUGAAUUAUGUAUGUUAUUUGGUAUGCCCGUGUAUAUAGACUACUUUCAUUUAUAGAGAAUAAUUUGUUAAACAAUAAAAUUAAAGACUAAUAUACACAAAUAAGAAAGUUGG